CCCAUACGCCUACAAGCUGUCGGAGCCGCUUCGUGCGGUGACGGCGUGCCUUUUGCAUAAUGAGCCUACGAGUUACUCAUCACCAGCGAGGUUAAGUACUUCAGGUACGUAAGCCGAAGCGAAAGCGAGUCUGAAUAGGGCGUCAAGUUGGUGGUGGUAGACGCGAAACCUUAGUGAUCUACCCAUGGGCAGGGUGAAGGUUUGGUAACACAAACUGGAGGCCCGAACCGGUAAACGUUGAAAAGUUUUCGGAUGACCUGUGGGUAGGGGUGAAAGGCCAAUCAAACUGGGAAAUAGCUCGUACUCUCCGAAAUGCAUUUAGGUGCAGCCUCUGUUGUUUUGUUCUAGAGGUAGAGCUACUGAUUGGAUGCGAGGGCUUCACCGCCUAUCAAAUCCGGCCAAACUCCGAAUGCUAGAACAUGAAGACAGGGAGUGAGCCAGCGGGUGCUAAGGUCCGUUGACGAAAGAGGGAGAACUCAGACCAUCAGCUAAGGUCCCCAAUUAUAUGCUAAGUUGGAAUAAAAACGGGGUGGGACUGCUUAGACAGCUAGGAUGUUGGCUUGGAAGCAGCCAUUCAUUUAAAGAGUGCGUAACAGCUCACUAGUCGAGCGGUCCUGCAUGGAUAAUACGCGGGCAUAAGCAUAUAACCGAAGCUAUGGGAUUGUAGAUGAUACAAUCGGUAGGAGAGCAUUCCAUUCAGCAUAGAAGCAGUACCGUGAGGUAUUGUGGAGCGGAUGGAAAAGCAAAUGUAGGCAUAAGUAACGAUAAUGCGGGUGAGAACCCCGCACGCCGAAAGAUCAAGGAUUCCCCGGCAAUGUCAAUCAUCCGGGGGUAAGUCGGAUCCUAAGGGUAAGCCGAGUGGCGAUCCCGAUGGUAAACAGGUUAAUAUUCCUGUACUGAUCAUAACUGCGAUGCAGCGACGCAGAGGUGACACUGCUGCGUACUGACGGAAUAGUACGUUGAAACCCGUAUUCUUUGAUACCGGUAGUGAAGCACGCCGGUAGAGAUGAAAGGUGAUAGUACCGCAAUGCUUCGGUUGCGCGGAUAAUGCAGGUAAGCUGACUGCCAAGAAAACCUGCUAAGCUUCAGGUAAUGAUCAUCCGUACUGUAAACGGACACACGUGAUCAGGAGAAAAUACUAAGGCGCUCGAGAGAUUCAUGGUUAAGGAACUAGGCAAAAUGGUCCUGUAACUUCGGGAUAAAGGACGCUCUUGUGAAAGAGCCGCAGAUAAUAGGCCCAGGCGACUGUUUACCAAAAACACAUGGCUAUGCUAAUUCGCAAGAAGAUGUAUAUGGCCUGACACCUGCCCGGUGCCGGAAGGUUAAGAGGAGAGCUCAGAGGUAACUCGAAGGUUUGAAUUGAAGCCCCGGUAAACGGCGGCCGUAACUAUAACGGUCCUAAGGUAGCGAAAUUCCUUGUCGGGUAAGUUCCGACCUGCACGAAUGGUGUAACGAUCUGGGUACUGUCUCAACCAUGAGCUCGGUGAAAUUGUAGUUCCGGUGAAGAUGCCGGAUACCCGCAACGGGACGGAAAGACCCCGUGAACCUUUACUGCAGCUUUGCAUUGAUUUUGGGUAACAGAUGUGUAGGAUAGGUCGGAGGCUUUGAUGCUGCGUCGUCAGGCGUAGAGUAGCCGUCGUUGAAAUACGACCCUUUUGUUAUCUGAGGUCUAAUCCCGUUAGGGAGACAUUGCAUGGUGGGUAGUUUGACUGGGGUGGUCGCCUCCAAAAGUGUAACGGAGGCUUCUCAAGGUACCCUCAAGGCGUUUGGUAAUCGUCUGCAGAGUGCAAUGGCAUAAGGGUGCUUGACUGUGAGACCGACACGUCGAUCAGGUUGGAAACAAGAGCAUAGUGAUCCGGUGGUUCCGCAUGGAAGGGCCAUCGCU
rnacentral:rRNA from 1 species